rnacentral:rRNA from 1 species
GACGAACGCUGGCAGCGUGCUUAACACAUGCAAGUCGAACGGAAAGGCCCUGCUUUUGUGGGGUGCUCGAGUGGCGAACGGGUGAGUAACACGCGAGUAACCUGCCCUUGACUUUGGGAUAACUUCAGGAAACUGGGGCUAAUACCGGAUAGGAGCUCCUGCUGCAUGGUGGGGGUUGGAAAGUUUCGGCGGUUGGGGAUGGACUCGCGGCUUAUCAGCUUGUUGGUGGGGUAGUGGCUUACCAAGGCUUUGACGGGUAGCCGGCCUGAGAGGGUGACCGGCCACAUUGGGACUGAGAUACGGCCCAGACUCCUACGGGAGGCAGCAGUGGGGAAUAUUGCACAAUGGGCGGAAGCCUGAUGCAGCAACGCCGCGUGCGGGAUGACGGCCUUCGGGUUGUAAACCGCUUUCGCCUGUGACGAAGCGUGAGUGACGGUAAUGGGUAAAGAAGCACCGGCUAACUACG